rnacentral:lncRNA from 1 species
GGGGUGACCAAGGCAAGUGGGUGACCAGGUGUGGGUGCGCAACUUCACAUGUUUAUAAUAAAUGUAAGAAAAGAAUGAAAGAAAUUUAAUGAAAUUCUGCCAAAUGGUAAGUUUGUUAUGUACAAAUAUGUGGAUUUUUAGACAAUUAAAGGGCAAUAACUCUGAAGUUAC